GAAGAUGUGAAAGUAUCAAGUGGGUUUUGGUAGAAAGUUGUGAACAAUGUAUGAAGAUGCUGCCACUUGUGUCAGGACACGCCAAGGAUCAGCUUUGCGGCAUUAUCUUGUGCUUUAGUCAUUGAUGAACUCAGAAUCACAGAAAAUACUUGUUUUUUUAUUUAAAUGAUCAUUUUUGUGCUGAAACCCAAUCAUAGGUUAACUAGGAGUAGGAGAAAUGGAGGACCGCCUUUCAAGUGUAGUGCUAGUACCAAAAUAGAAUAUAUAUACAUUGUAAUUUAGCAAAUGUAAUGCUAUGUGAGUGAAUUGGAUUAAAUUAGAUGUGGUAGAAGUUCUGCAAAGUGAUUUCUUAUGCAUGUUGGUUAUCUUACGCAAAGGAAUGGGAUGAAAAAG
rnacentral:misc_RNA from 1 species